rnacentral:rRNA from 1 species
ACCUGCCUCUGACUUUGGGAUAACAGUAGGAAACUGCUGCUAAUACCGGAUAUCACCUCCUUCUGCAUGGUGGGGGGUUGAAAGCUUUUGCGGUCAGGGAUGGGCUCGCGGCCUAUCAGCUUGUUGGUGAGGUAACGGCUCACCAAGGCUUCGACGGGUAGCCGGCCUGAGAGGGCGACCGGCCACACUGGGACUGAGAUACGGCCCAGACUCCUACGGGAGGCAGCAGUGGGGAAUAUUGCACAAUGGGCGGAAGCCUGAUGCAGCAACGCCGCGUGCGGGAUGACGGCCUUCGGGUUGUAAACCGCUUUCACUCAUGACGAAGCGCAAGUGACGGUAGUGAGAGAAGAAGCACCGGCCAACUACGUGCCAGCAGCCGCGGUGAUACGUAGGGUGCGAGCGUUGUCCGGAAUUAUUGGGCGUAAAGAGCUCGUAGGCGGUCUGUCACGUCGGAAGUGAAAACUCAGGGCUUAACCCUGAGCCUGCUUCCGAUACGGGCAGACUUGAGGAAGGUAGGGGAGAACGGAAUUCCUGGUGGAGCGGUGGAAUGCUCAGAUAUCAGGAGGAACACCGGUGGCGAAGGCGGUUCUCUGGACCUUUCCUG